CACUUUACAAUGCGGGAAACCGCGAUAAGGGAACCCCGAGUGCCAGCAUCAAAUGUUGGCUGUCCAGAUGAUUAAAAAUCAUUUGUUAGCAAGGGCCGGGCAAGACCGGUGCCAGCCGCCGCGGUAACACCGGCGGCCCGAGUGGUAGCCGUUUUUAUUGGGUCUAAAGGGUCCGUAGCCGGCCUGAUAAGUCCUUUGGGAAAUCUGACAGCUUAACUGUCAGGCUUCUAAGGGAUACUGUCAGGCUUGGGACCGGAAGAGGUAAGGGGUACUCCAGGGGUAGGAGUGAAAUCUUGUAAUCCCUGGGGGACCAUCUGUGGCGAAGGCGCCUUACCAGAACGGGUCCGACGGUGAGGGACGAAAGCUAGGGGAGCAAACCGGAUUAGAUACCCGGGUAGUCCUAGCUGUAAACGAUGCUCGCUAGGUGUCAGACACGGUGCGACCGUGUUUGGUGCCGCAGGGAAGCCGUUAAGCGAGCCACCUGGGAAGUACGGUCGCAAGGCUGAAACUUAAAGGAAUUGGCGGGGGAGCACUACAACGGGUGGAGCCUGCGGUUU
rnacentral:rRNA from 1 species